rnacentral:rRNA from 1 species
UACGGAGGGUGCAAGCGUUGUCCGGAAUCACUGGGCGUAAAGGGCGCGUAGGCGGCUCAUGAAGGCUGUGGUGAAAGUCCGGGGCUCAACCUCGGAUCGGCCGUGGCGACUCGUGGGCUGGAGCACUGUAGAGGCGGGUGGAAUUCCGGGUGUAGCGGUGGAAUGCGUAGAGAUCCGGAAGAACACCAGAGGCGAAGGCGGCGACCUGGACAAGCACUGACACUCAACUACGAAAGCGUGGGUAGCAAACAGG